AACUUGACCAAUACACUGACCAGCUCAUAAAAGUCUUCAAGAAAAAAGGAGGUGCUGCAGUGAAGAAAAUUAGACAAACUUUGGCUCCAGCCACAAAGAAGGAAACUAUUGAAAACGGGAGGGAGUGUGUCCUCAGGGCACUACCUUUUUACCUGAAUGAAGACCCAAGCAUCCUCUUCAAAGAAUAAUUGCUACAGCUACAGCUGUUCAGAGGGAGCUGGAACAAAUUACCCUUGCUAUCUUCACCAUUGAAAAAGCUGAUGUCAGCACUCCUCCAGCCGAUGUGGGUAUAACCAUCUAGGGUGUUCUGCAUGACCUGGAAAACAUGGCCUCUGCAUGUGCACUCUUAAUGGGUGGGAUAUAUGCACUGAAUCUCAGUUAACCUCGAGACUGAAAGCUUUCUUUGAAGUACUUCAGAAGCUCUUCCUUCAUCUGUAUGUCAGCAGACUCUUGACCAAGGUACAGAUACUCAAGAAUAAACUGAACGAAUAAGCCAAUCCUUAAUUUGGAUGAUGAAUGUUCUGUCAGAUGGACAGAAGUUUUUCAGAGGCUGAAUGGGAAUAAAACGGUAAUUUGUUGAAAAUGACAGAUAAAGGGAAAAUUACAUUUAAGAGAAAUUUUGAAAAGUUUGUAAACUACUACAAUUUGAGAGAUUUUACUCUUGUGGGGGAGGGGGGCUAGUAAGAGACAAUCAAAAGUGUUGAGAUUUAAAGGAUUUAAUUGAGAGAUGAUACUGCACCAGAAAUGUUGAAGGGUGGUGUGUAUAUUAGCGUUCAAGGUAUAUUGUUAUGAGGUGGAAAUAUGUUCAUAUUCUGUUUGUGUUACAUUGUGUGCAUUGUAAAG